ACAUGGGGACGCAUCGAUGGAGGGUCCUUCUCUGGGGCCACUCACGGUACACCCAUGCCAGAGGAGCGUGCAGCCCGGAACCUUCGCCCAGACUCUUCACUGAUGGACCGUGAGCACUGAAGGAGCCUCUACAGUG
rnacentral:snoRNA from 14 species